CAGUCCACAGCCUGGGGGUCGGGGACCUCUGCUCACAAGGGGACUUUCAUCCCGACAGUCCUGGAACUUGCUGAAAUAGGAACAGUGCUCCCUGCAAGGCCUUAGGGCUGAGAAACAACUGAGCCCGCGUACCACAGCUACUGAAGCGGCGAACCGAAGCAAGAGAGCCUGUGCUCUGAAACAAGAGAGCCCGUGCUCUGAAACAAGAGAGGGCGCCCUCCACACACCACAAGUGCGGAUGAGCCCCUGCUAGCCAUGACUAGAGGAAGCCCACUCGCAGCAAGGAAGUUCCAGCACAGCCCAAAGGUCAUCUUCUUCACCGGGACCUCCCUGCCCUUCACGCUGCCCUUCUCUCCUCCUGGUGCCUGGAGGCCUUCCCAUCACUGAGCAGCAUGGGCUCCUCACUGCUGGCUGUGCCCUGUGAGUCUCAGCACUCCGGAG